CAAAUCAUCUGCCAGAGAGUCCAACUCAGGACACAUUCCUCUUCCCCCGACUCCAUUACAAACCAGCCAAGUCAUCCUCUGAGUCUCUUUAGCUGUUUCAUCCUGAGUCUCUAUGUUGACCUGACUCACGCACAUGCAAGGAGAUCUUCUGAACACUCUUGAGGAAGAGGAGCACUGUCUCUGCGUCAGCUUUGAAAGACUCAAAGAGCUCCAAGACCUUUUCUUUGUUGUAGAUGUUGCCACUGAGCUGGGAGGGCUUCAGCCGGAGCGGGAAACGGAACAAUGUACCAGGAAAGCUGCCAUCCUUGAUGGUUUUCUCUGAGCUCCCAAACAUCCCGAUGGGGUUCAGAGCAGAGGAUCAGCUACUUAACGACACUUAAUCAGCUUGACAUAUCUUCUCACUCCAAAUCCCAUGACAUCCUGAUCACUGGCUAAAGCCUUUGCCUGGGAGAGAUGUCGACCAUACCAUCCUGUUAACACAACAAC